rnacentral:rRNA from 1 species
CCCUACGGAGGCCACCAGUGGGGAAUUGUUCACAAUGGGCGCAAGCCUGAUGACGCAACACCGCGUGGGGGAUGAAGGUCUUCGGAUCGUAAACCCCUGUCGAAUGGGACGAAUAACCUCUGGGCUAAUCACCAGGGGAAUGACGGUACCGUUAAAGGAAGCCCCGGCUAACUCUGUGCCAGCAGCCGCGGUAAUACAGAGGUGGCAAGCGUUGUUCGGAAUUACUGGGCGUAAAGGGCGCGUAGGCGGCCAUCUAAGUCAGACGUGAAAUCCCCCGGCUUAACCUGGGAACUGCGUCUGAUACUGGACGGCUUGAGUAUGGGAGAGGGAUGUAGAAUUCCAGGUGUAGCGGUGAAAUGCGUAGAUAUCUGGAGGAAUACCGGUGGCGAAGGCGGCAUCCUGGACCAUUACUGACGCUGAGGCGCGAAAGCUAGGGGAGCAAACGGGAUUAGAUACCCCGGUAGUCCUAGCCCUAAACGAUGAAUACUUGGUGUGGCGGGUAUCGAUCCCUGCCGUGCCGAAGCUAACGCAUUAAGUAUUCCGCUGGGAGUACGUCGCAGGCG